CCCUUGCUACUUCUUUAUGUAAAGUCAGUCCGAUUGCAUCAAACUCGUUCUGUUCUGAAAAAACUUUUGACUUUGCCAUUAUAAUUUUAAUUCUAAAAAUUUAUGCUCGAUCGUUUAUUUGUUUGUUUUGACAACUAAAACGAAAACGAAAGAAUCUCUGAGAUAUCCGUAUAACAAAACAAGUAUUUACACACCGUGCUUGUCUUAUAGAUUAAAUAAUCCGCACGUCAUUGAUUUUGUGUACCGAAG
rnacentral:lncRNA from 1 species